rfam:Massilia sp. LC238 contig2, whole genome shotgun sequence.
GGCUCACACUCUGGAGAGCGGCCCCGCCAACACGGGGCCCACCGAAGGGGCAGGCGGCGCAUGCCGCUAUCUCUCAGGUACCAAGGACAGAGGGGAUACA